GAUGAACGCUGGCGGUGUGCCUAAUACAUGCAAGUCGAGCGACAGCACGGGAAGAUCUUUUCCUUACUGUUAGCGGGGGACGGGCGAGUAAGGAAUGGAUAACAUUCUUCUUUGUCUUGGAUGAUAUCGGGGAGCAGGAGACACUACUAGAUCAUAUUUUGUACCGCAUAGUUCAAAAGUGCUAGACAGUCUUGCUGUCACAUAUAGCUGGAUCCGGGCUGCAUUAGCUAGUUGGUAAGGUAACGGCGUACCAAGGCAACGAUGCGUAGCUGACCUGAGAGGAUGAUCGGCCACACUGGAACUGAGACGCGGUCCAGACUCCUACGGGAGGCAGCAGUGGGGAAUCUUCGGCAAUGGGCGAAAGCCUGACGCAGCAACGCCGCGUGGGUGAUGAAGGUCUUCGGGUCGUAAAGCUCUGUUGUUGGGAAAGAACAGAUGCAGAAUAAACCGUGGAUAUCCUGACGGUACCUAAACAGAAAGCCACGGCUAACUUCGUG
rnacentral:rRNA from 1 species